GUUCUUAAAAAAUAGAAAUUAAACACAAAGAUGAGGGAAAUGAAUCAUGGAUGAUAAAACUGAUAAAUAUCCAAUGCCAUCUUAUAGUGAAAUGUUUCUGAGGAUGGUUGAGGAUUCUCAGGCCACAAAUUAAGAGAACACUAAAAGGAAAAAAAAAACAACACCAAUUUUUCCACCUCCCUGUAAGCUAAUAAUUCAGGAUAAAAUGUUAGUCAACUUCAAGAAUAGGAUAUGCAGCAACUGAGAUGAUUCUUAACUCUGUGGAUUUUAACAAUGACUUUGUAGAGCUAAGAUUUAUGUCUUAUUUUAUAUUUAACCCAGUUUCCUCCAAGUGCACCUUACUUAAAUAAUACAUGCUCUGUUUUUAUUUCUAUAAACACAAUAUCUCCCUGUGACUAUAAUCACUGCUAUCACCAUCAUCAUCAUCACUGCCACCGACCAUUAUCAUCAUUGCUGAGAUCUAUAUUGGGUGAAAACUCUUUUUGUAUACUUUCUUUAAAGUAUAUGUGUGUGUGUGUGUGUGUGUGUGUGUGUGUGUGUGUGUGUGUGUGUGUGUGUUGGAGUAUGUACAUAUGAAUACAAGAUCCUGUGGUGGCUAGAGGUCUUGGACCUCCCUAGUGCUCGAGUUAGACAAUUGUGAGCCACCUAACGUGGCUACUGAGAACUGAACUUGUGUCCUGUGUGCUCUUAAAUGCCGAGGCAUCUCUCCAACCCUAGUAUGCACAUUUAAUAUGAGCUGUCCAACUUAGAUUAUAACACGCACACAUGAACACUUUUAUUUAACAGAGAGAUUUCUAAAUUAUAAUGUCCCAAUUGUAAGGGUAUAAUUUAAUGAUAUCUUAAAUAAAUUCACAGUUAUGUAACUCUCCCUGCCACCCAGCUUUGAGAAGUUGCCAGCGCCUAAUUUGCACCUUGUUUCUCACUCCUAUGCCAUCCCUAAGCAGUUGGUUAUCUUCCUAACUCCGUAGACUUGCACUCUGGGCACUUCACAUGUACAGUGUGUGCUAGUGAUCUUUCUGUCUUGGGAUAACUGACCAAGGAAAGUUUUAUUUUGGGUCACAGCUUUAGAUGUUCCAGCCCAUGAUCAGUGGAGUGGGCUCCAUUGCCUUGGCUGAGGUAGCACAUUAUGGUAGAAAUGAUUUUGCUCAUCACAUCAUGGAUGGGAAGAGGAAGUCCAUAGUGUCAUUUCCACAGUGACUGAAGACCUUCCAGUAGGUCCAACCUCAUAAAUGCAUCACCACCUCCCAGAAGAACUAUUGUUAAUGUUAUCUGGAUCUUACGAUGGAACUCCUGUUGUGGGCCAGGCUGGCUUCAAACUCACAGAAAUCUGCCUGCUGAAUGCUCAGAUUAAAGGUGUGUGUCAUGACAUACAGCCCUACUGGGAACCUUUGAAAGGAGAGAACUGUUGCCUCAGACCCGACUGAAAUGCAGAUGAAAUCCCCCUGGGCCUGAGAAGAGGAAGGGAAGCACACAGAGGAGGCACUGCAAACCCAUGGAGCAGGAAGCAUCUGAAGAGGAAAACCCUCUGAAGCACAGCUUUACCCAAAGAAGUGUUAAUAAUCGGAAAGAUAGAACCUAGCAAGUGGAGCUUUCAGAUAAUUGGCAGUUACAUUUGUCCCCCAGGUGUUAUCUCGGAUCCACGAAUAGAAAACACACACACACCAAUUAUUCUUAAAACAUCUUUGCUAACUCAAUGGCUGGCCACUCUUAAUUCUUCCCCUGCUAUCCCAGGCCCCGUUGGGGAUGUGGCCAGAGGCAGGCCCAUCUAGAUGCCUUACUGGUGUGGAGAACUCUGUGCUACCUGAGUUGUGAUCACUACCCUCACGUGGGGUUUGUGGUCACAUAUACCGGGACAGGAAUCGGGUCGGGAGUAAAUGAAACUCCUACCGUUCUCAAAUUCUCAGAUUGGGUUUCUGAAUCCGCUCAACCUCAGUUUUUGUCUGGUGACACACAGUACCAAUUGCUGGAAGUGUGUAGUCCCAAACAGGGUAACAUUGAUAACAUCCAAGUGAUGGUAGAAGGGCAGCUCUUUUCUCAAAGACAACAUCAGGUAGUUUAUCAUGAACCAGCAUAAGUAAACAGGGCCUGGAAUGCCCACAAUAAGAAAAAUGUUUGCCUAACUAAUGAAGUUAGUGCCUACUUGUAUACAUGUGCAUGUAUUAUGAAAUUUCCAAUAACUAGCUUCUUCCGGAAAAUUGUAGAGCAUUGUGAAGUAAAUGCCUUUUAGCAGAUAAAUUGUGAUCCAUCCACACUGUGGAGUUUUACACAGCUAGUAGGGAUGAAUGACAGUUGCCCUGGCAACCGACCUGCUGGGUUUCUGUGGGUAUGAGUGGGAGGGGUGAGGCACAGAGAAGUGAGUACUGUGACUCUACACAUAGGAGACAAGCAGCAAGAUGCCUCUGCAUAUGUCUAUGUGAGA
rnacentral:lncRNA from 1 species